CAGGAAAGGGCUUGGCUAUGUACAAGUGCAGCCCAUCAAUAAUGAAAACAUUCCCAUGUUAAAAACACUGUUUAAAGCACAAAUACAAAACACAGAUGAACACUUUAUUAUUACUAUGAAUAAAAUUAACUCUACCCCAACCAGAACUUGCACAGACAUUCACAAAUUACACUGCUUGUCCCCUACCAAGUUCAUUUGUAAUCUGUUUUAAGAUGUUGAUCAAGAUACCUGUACGUUUAAAUAAGUUCUUAGUGGAAGACUUGUGUUCAAAUUUUUUGAGGGUUUGAAACCUGAAGUUUUUCCUUGUUAGAACUUUCUAAGGCAGCAAAAAGGCAGCAGCAUUUGUUUAAGGCUAACAGCUUUCGUUAUUCCGCUUAGGCCUCAUUCAGGAACACACAGUCCACAAUGACUAUUCAGCUUGAAACACAGAAAAAAUAUUCUAAACAAGAAUAUAAAUAUUCUCUACAAGAAAAUAGACUUGCAUCUUUGGUUCUAGUGGGUGGAAGUACAAAUGGUAUGGUGGCACCGUUACUGCUUUACUGCUGCUGACAAAGUAUGGACUGUCCAUCUCUUUAAAAUAUAGUUUCUGUAGGCUUGAUUUGAGGGGGGAUUCAGGACAGUGUAUCCUGAACAUCUGGAAGCGAUAGUUUGAAAUUAAUUUUGGGAGGUUUCCAGCAUACCCUUUGUAGCAGUAUCCCCAGAUAUCUGGGGCUUUAAGUUGCCUCUCAAUAAGAAUGAUGUCUUUCUGAGGCACAUAGCUCUUCCCAAGAAACUUAGUGUAACAAAAAGCUGCAUCCUAUCUCAGGCUUCCAAAUUCCAUGCUAAAGGAAUUGAAGUCUUAGCACGGUCCUCCCCUGCAUGCUUGUUUGAUCCAAAUGCACAUUUUUAGAAAGAAAAAAUAUGUUGAGUUUUUACAGAUGUUAUUUUCUCAAAUACCCAGUAUUCCCAUGGAAAGGCCAUUCAAGGAUUAGCUGAGUUGAUCAGGAAGCUUCACCCUGGAAAGAGAAAGGGACAUGUUAUGGGACUAUGGUACUACAGAGUCAAGAUUGGCAAGGAAAGACAGGCUCCAGCUGAAUUAUCAAUCUCCAGAUUGAUAAUUUACUGUCUAGCAAAAGAACAGCAGGCAUCAUAAAAAGCUGGAAGGAGUUGUGCUCAAAACAGAAGAGUUGCUCAUGCAGCAAGUAACUGACCUUUGAAACUCCUUGCCAAAGGAUGUUGUAGAUAAUAAAAAAAUAAAUGAAAUACAAAUUUUUGUGGACUCAAGGGCAAACUGGACCAAGCAUAUGAAAGAGAAAUCCAGUAACGGUGGGGGUUGUCAAUAAUCGUGCAAAAUCAUAUCCAUUCAGGAAUGCCCCUGUACUGAAAAUAAUUAGAGGCUGGUAAUGUAUUAGGGGAGAAUCUUGAGCCUCCUUCAGCAUUUAUAGUCACUUAUGAAGCAGAAUGUGGGGCUGAAUAAAACUUCAGGAUAGUACAACCGUUUCGAUCUUCACUCUUAUUAGAUAUUUUAAUAGUGAUGGGGAGGUAGAUUUUCAGAGGUGAAAAUCUGAUUUUUUUUAAUCUGUAGAUCCUGGAAUCAGUUGAAAUUUGGAAGCAAGCACUGAACAUUAUUGUUCAGAAUGUCAGAACAUCUAUUUCAGUUUUAAAACAUUGGCUGAGUGCCCAUAAUUGCCUUAAGUGAGUGCUCACAUUUAAAAAAUUGAGGAUAUAGUCCAGAUUCAGAUCAAGCUGAGACCCAGGGAGAAAAUUCUCAAGGUCUUUUUUCUCUAUCUAAACACCAUUAGUUUUAUAAACACAUUAUCUGCAAUUCCCCGCAUCUUGAAGGAGGAAGAAGCUAUGUCCUAUUCUAAAAUUGUCCAGUAUCUAAAAUUUGAUUGAAUGGGCAAGGCUUGUCUUAAGCUAAACAAAUAUUUUAAAAUUGGGAAUAAAAGACAUCCUUUAUGGUUUUGGAAAAUAAUACUUGGGAGAAGAAAAAAAUAUGCUCUCUAAACCAAAUAAUUUCUUUGGGUGCAUGAUGGGCGUCCAGAGUAAAUUGUUUCAUUUCAGCAGUCUGUUUAAAAGUUUACAUACAUGUCCAACAUACUUUUGACAUCAUAUUGUAAAAUUUAAUAAAAUAUCUGAAUAAGAAGAAGCCAUAGGCAUGAAAGACAAAUGGUACUUACUGAUGUGGCGAAGACUUGUCAUAUGACUGUCAGUUAAGUGUUCAUGGUCCACAGUUCUUCAAGGAGGUGCCGUGAAGCUCAACUGCUUGAGGAAAACAGAUGUGAAUGUGUCGCUCAAAUUUUAAGAAAUGCAGCUUUUUGGAUGUGUUUAACUAUGUGUUUCAGGUAAUUGAAUUAGUCUUACGGCAUGGAAUUUUAGAGGAAUAGCUAAGUUUACUUAAUAUUCUAAAGAAAUGUAAAACCCGAGUUAGGGAGUUGUAUGUUGGCAGUAGCUCAGCUCAUAUCAAUGGCCUUGUACCAGUGUAAAACAUGUGAGAAUGGAAUCGUGCUCUUGAUACGUACUCUGGGCUCGAACUGAAGAGUGAGAGGAGAGAAACACAUUUAUAUUACUGAGGGGUAAAAUAUUCUGUGAAAAUGUGGGGUAUUACUGUUAGGAGCUGCAGGUGGCUGUCAUCAUUCUGAAGAGACACAUUUUGACAACACUAUACAAAAUAUGAGAGAUUGCAAGAAAUGUAGUUCCCAAAUUGUCAGGCACAAGAAAAGAGUAUUUGGAGGGUGGGUUUUUAUUGUUGUUUUUAGAGAUGAAUAAUUAUGGGUGAGUGAGUGAAAGGAAAUUACAGAGAUGUACUAAUUUAUAUGUCUAUCUACCUCUGAAUCCAAAAAGGCCAAAAAAUAAAGGGAAUUAACCCAAACACAUUGUAGAGCAUCUACACCAAAUACAUUAGACCUACUGCUAAGAGCCAUAGGUUUUUGUCUUUCAUAAAUUCUGGCAAUGUUCUCAGUCCUCUCCUGCCAAUAAUGUCUGACUGUGAUGAAAUAUUUUGCCCCUCUAUUUCUCCCUUUCUUUCUCGCUUUUGCCUUUCCCUCUUCCUUCCUGUAUGCACACUUGAAUCUGUUAUUUCAAUGUUGUUAGUCAGUGAAUCCUAGACCUUUUAUUGAAGUGAUAUAACUAAAAAUUUCUGGUGAAUGAUUUAUUGUUCUAUUCUUGCUGAACAUUGCUGACUGUUAUCACAGUAAAUGUAAGUAGUGUCACUGAAGUCAGCAGAUCUAUGCUGAAUUAAUCAGUAUGGAUUCUGGUCCUGAGAGUCAUAAUUGAUAAAGUCAUUUGUGUGCUUGAAACAAGUCAUGAAUGGAUGUGUCAGUAUAGGUUCCUUAAAACUGGCUUAACUGUACAUUUAAUUAAUUUUGGAGGGUGUCACCUUCACACAGAGGAACUCAGCUUCAAAAUAUAUUUGGUCUUGGUAAAGGUAUUUUUAAUGUGAUUAUUCAUAAACUUUGUUUAUCAGUAUUAGAUUUUUGUCUGCUCUUUAUAUUUUGUGUAUUAAAUACCAGGCUUUUGAAAAUAAGUAGGUUACCUUGCAGAUUGGAAGCCAACAAAUGGAUGUAGUUUCAAACACUACACAGUGCUGUACAUUCAAAAGUGACACAGGGUUAAAAAAAAUGGCCUGUUUUCAGUAAAAUGCUUAGAUAUGAGCAUAUUUCUAUUUUAUACCCAUUUUAAAUGUGUGAGAGAAGGAGACUGAGAAAUAUUUAAUGAUGAAACUACUAAAACAUGAUAUUCAAAUAUACUGACAAGAAGCUGCUCUAAUAUCUUUUCUUCCUGUCUUUUAUAUGCCUCCUCUGGUUUCUUCUCUCUUUGUAUAUUUAAUACAAUACUUUCCUCCAAUUUGCACAGCCUUGCCUAAUCUUUUUUCUUAUAUAGUUCUUGCACUCAUUUUUCUCUCUCAAUCAUGUAUUUCCAUGUCUUUCUUCUCUUCUAUGAACUCAAUAUUUCUUCUCAUGCUUCUCUUAUUCCUGUGCUACUGACUUCCUGUAAGCAUCUGUAUUAUUAGACUAUUUUCCAUAUUCUAAUUUUAAAAUCUAUUAUUGCUCUUUCAAUUUGAUUCCCAAAGUAUUGUUUCAGCUAUUGGAAAUACAGAAAAAAAUUUCAAGGAUAUUGUUUAUUUAAGCAGCAACUUUCAUAAGUUACCAAGAACAUAUGACAAUGUAGAACAAGAUUCAUUCCAUGACUGUUCUUACAAGAUGGAAGUAUUUCUCAGCCUACUUCUCCCCACUAUUCCUCAGAUAACUGUCCCAUUAAUGGGAUAUGCAUUGGAAUCCAAUGGAUUCCAAUUUACCAUUCCAAAAUACCCAAUUUUGGGUGGACUGCUAAAAUGUAGAUGGAUGACAUCUUAAAUGCAGACGUGUAUAUCUGGUCUGUAUAUUCCCCUGGUAUGGUCAACAAAUAGAGACAGGUGAUUCUAAUGUUUUUCAUUGAAUCUUGCUAUGACUGUUAGAAGUAAGUUAUCUGAUUCAAUGCUGAUAGCUUUUCUUUUCCCUAUUCUAAUGUAAAUUUCUGAGGUUGUGUGAGAUAAACCUUAUUUCUGCUAUCUCUUAUAGUGGGUUGGUAAAGUUAAUUCUCCGUUUGACUUCCCAGUUUCUUUGGGUAUCCCCUUCCCUGAAUCUGGGGGGUUUUUUUUGUCUAAUUUGAAUGAAAGUCAGACCUUUUAUACAAUUUCUUUGCUAGAGACUUGCUAUUUGUAACAAGUCUGUUACAAGCACUGAAGCUGUGCCUUUGAGCCCAUCAAGUAAGGUCUCUGAUACAAGAUCCAGUCCUUUCAGUCUGGGGGUGAGGACAUAUCCUCCCAAGCCCUAGUAAGCAAUCAUAAGAAUGUCCACAUAAAUCUCCAAGUCUUUUCCUUCUAGCAGCAUAGUUUUUCUGUCCCUGUUUCCAUCUUCACCUACCACCCUGUAUCUUUUGGUUUCCAGUGGCCCCACACCAGGCUGGACUAGGGCAUCACUGCAGCAGUAGGGUCACACUCCCAUGCCCUCCUGCAAGAUGCUGUCUGCAUAUCUGAGGGCAGGCUUGUUCUGGCUCCUCCUGCCCCCAGGAAGCAGGCAGGGGGCUGCAUGCCAAUUUUACACCUGGCAGACACCCAGGGGAGUGCUGAGGCUCAGGAAGGAUCUCUGUGUUGCUUCAGUGCUUGCAGCCUCCUCCUCCAGCAUGGCAAAUGGUACAUGGCUGAAAAACACCACCCCAAUCCUGCACCUAACUGCUGUCAGCCACAGGCUUGGCACGAUGUGGACAAGUCCAGUCUGUGCUCUGGGAUCCUCUGUGCCUGGAAACAAUUUGCCACUGCAGCCCUGCUUGUAAAUUACCAAAAAUCAAAAGUAUGGAUAACUGACCAUUGAUAACAUGCUUGGGAGGAAUUCUUAUGGUCUAAAGUCCUCACGGCAUUACGGAAUUUAGGAGGUAUGUGGCACACUUAAAGUCAGGAAUUCACAUACCAGUUCAUAUGAAGGGUUCUGAUGCCUACCCUAGUAACUGUUGUUGUAGAAAGACUAGCAGGAGUCAAUGUCUUUUUUACUGCUGGUCUGUUAAAAACAAUGAUAUUCUGGGUUCUUCUUCUCUCUGCUUGUCUUCAUUAAUGCAGUGCUCUUCUGCCUUUGUCUCCUUUCUUGAGUUAUUGUCUUCCAACAUGUCUUAACAAGUUUCUUAAAGCUAUGAACCCUUUGGGCCAGGGAUAUGUCUUGUUAGAACUUAAGUGGUGUAGAAGCAAUUUUUACCAUGCUAGAAUAAAAUUUAAAUAUAGAUAGGAGAUAUAAUAAGACUGCACUCACAUAUGUGGCCAUAGUUGGAAAUGUCCACUUGAGAGUAGAACAAGGGGCACAGUCUGCAAAGGUCAGGCUCACUAACUAUAUAUCCUGUAAUUAGUAAUAAUCUCCCCACUUUAAUUGUAACUGAUAGAACUUCACGCCAUAAAUUCUUUUUUGUUGUUGUUGUUUAAAAGGUUUGGUUUGUGAUACAAUAAUGAGUACUUGUCUAAAUUGCUUAUUUAUUAAUUAACUCUUUAUUAAUCUGAAUAUGCACAUUUUCUUCACUCUGAUCUUUAUUAUGCAAAAUGACAUUAAGCAAUUAACUUUAAUAUAGUAACUGCUACUAAGUACUUAGAAAUAAGGAUGUAGGUGGCAUGUCUUGUGUGUUACCAACUGGCAUUAAUUAUGAAGUUGAACUUUUGCACUAAAGUCCUACUACCUCUGUGGUUUUAAUAUAGAAACCAUGUCUCUUAGGAAAACGUAUUUCUUAAAAUGCUUAUGUUUUCUCCCUGUUGUAUUUUUCUCCCUGUUGUAUUUUUGGGCAGAGGUUGUCAAUUAGGAAACUUUAAAAUUGUAGUUGGUGCAGAGAGAAAUAGAGGCAAGUUUAAUAUAUAAGAAACCUUAACUGUUUCUAUAGGCUCAAAAUUAAAGUAAUUUUAAAGCUCAGUUAUUAAUCACAUGCAUUUUUAACCAAUAAAAUUGCUAAUUCUUCUUCUAUUAGGGGAACCAUCCACCAGAUCAAAAACCCCAUUUAGCCCGGCCUUGAACAAUUCCAGGUAUGGGAAAUCAAUCCACAUCUCUAGUAAACCAGUUCCAGUGCCUCACCACCCUCCGAGUAAAUAAUUUCUUCUUAACAUCUAAUCUAAGCCUACCUUCUUUCAGUUUAGAAACAUUGUCCCUUGUCAUGUCACUAUCUGCCAUAUGAAAAAUCACUUUCCCUCCUUUUUAAGCCCCCUCAAGGUACUGGAAAGCUAUAAUAAAGCCUCUCCAAAGCCUUUUCUUCUCCAUGCUGAACAACUCCAGCUCUCUGCCUUUCCUUAUAGGAAUGGUGUUCCAGUCCCAUCAUCAACUUCAUGUCUCUCCUAUGGAGUCAUUCCAACAGGUCGACGGCUUCCUUUUUCAUUUUACAAAAGGCAUUAUCCCCAUUUUUUAUCAUCACUUACUGUGUUUUAAGUUAAAACACUUGCUCACUUGCUUUUUAUUCCAGCUGGCUGGUAAUAAGGUGAACAUAAAUGUAAAACCUGAGAGUUUGGAGUAAUAAGAUGACUAUGAAACAUACACAAUUUUUAUGUUUCCUGACAAAUCAGAUGGAGAAAUAAGUGAAGAGGGAAAUGGGCAUGAUUGCCUGAAAUGAGAAGGGAAAUGAAUUACUUCAUAAGUAAUUCACCUAAGUAGGUGUGUCAGAAUUAUUUUUUUUUUGCAACAGCAUUUUGCCAUUGACAACAUUGCACAUUCAGCCCAUGGCAAAAUUCUAAUUAUUGUCUUUCACUAUUUGACUUGACAGUUUCUACUUGACUAAGCUGUAGCAGUGGACAAACAAAUUGUUGAUCAUUGGAUUAGUGGAGUUCCUGUAGUAAAGACAUAGAAAGCUAAACAGUACAGGUGUCUUUAGUCAGAAGUAAAAGUAAAGGAAAUUGUGCUACUGAAUUUUAUAGAAACAGUUUAUAAUGCACCGAUGAACACACAAGUAUUUUUAAAGAAAUUAGUAUACUUAUAUACAAUUAAAUUAUCUAGAAAGCACUGGAGUAGCAGUCUUGCCAGCUACUAAAUAUUUACCCAACUCUGAUCACAGCAAUGUUUGACUUCUUAAGUAUUCCCUGCAGCUGCAGAUGUCCUGUCUUACUGCAACGUUCUUCUCUUCAGCAUUUCUGAAUGCACUGCCAAAGAUACCUGUAUAGGGCCUAUGUACAGGAAAAAGAGGACUUUUCAGAAAACUCUGCAGCACCAGGAUUAUAGCUAUUGGCACCUCUUUCCCUUCCCACUCAAAUCAACCAGGCCAUGCUCCAGGACAAUGGCCAGGUUCUUGUUCCAGACUUUUCCACCCUGAAUGUUUCCAAUGUUUAUGUUUCUAUAGCAUGGAGAAAAAAAAAAAGAAAUAUUCUUGACUUUGCCUCAGUUUUAUGUGUCUUCUAUGUAAGAUAACUCUAAGGAAUGGGAAUUGACAAGAAUUGUCUUUGGACUGAACAGUAUCACAGUUAGUCUGCAGUGUUCUGUAUUGACCAGUCAGUUGGUGGAUGUGGAUUGCAUUCUGCCUCAGGAACACAUCCCCAGUAUGCACUUUUACAGAUUUGUCUUGGACCAAUGUCAAAGUGAACUUUUGAGAGACCCAACCCUAUAAUGGGUGAGGAGCCAAGCUACAGAACGCACUGGGAGGUAAAAAACACAAAUGCAGUAAAAGAACUUUAAACUCAGGAGAGGGACUUUUAUUGUUUGCUUAUGUUUUUUUCCUAAAAAAAAUAGGCAGCCCUGUGAAGCUUUAUUUUUAUAUACAAGUCUGAAUGGACAAAUCAUGUCUUGGUUUGCAGCAUUACCUUGAUGAGCAGAUUAGUUAUGACAUCCUUUGGUUGAUUUUCUGUAAGCUUAGGGCCAUACACCCGUUUUACAAAUUAAUUCAAGGGAUUUCUAGUGAGAAACCUGUCUCUUGGUUAUACUGACUUUUAUCCAAUCUUCAUCUUCCCUGCUGACUCAGCAGUUAGUGCUCACUCCAGGACUGAAGCUGGAUGAGUUGGUGGAGUCCUCUGCAUGAUGCCUUGAGCAGCUGCUGUGAAGAACCACAGGGCGCUGAGAAGCUGAACACUAGAUCCCAAUAGCCUUUUGUCAGUUCUUUGGCCAUGAGCUCCAUGAAUCACAGUGAAGGAAUGAGGGAUGGAGAGUGAAAGCAAUUCACUGAAGUUCAAUUUAAUGAGGGAGAAAAUGUCCAGACACUGUGAAUGAAGCAAAAUGAAGCAAACUUGCAUUAUUUUAUCCCCCCACCCUCUUUUCAUUGGAACUGUUUAUUUUUAAACAGUUUUUCCUUUUUUCCAUUUUACUUUUCUCUCAUGUAAUGUAUUUAUGAUACUAAAUUGAAUAAACAUAACUUUUUCAACUAUA